rnacentral:rRNA from 1 species
UACGUAGGGUGCGAGCGUUGUCCGGAAUUAUUGGGCGUAAAGAGCUCGUAGGCGGUUCGUCGCGUCGAAUGUGAAAACCCGGGGCUCAACUCCGGGCCUGCAUUCGGUACGGGCGGACUAGAGUUCGGUAGGGGAGACUGGAAUUCCUGGUGUAGCGGUGAAAUGCGCAGAUAUCAGGAGGAACACCGGUGGCGAAGGCGGGUCUCUGGGCCGAUACUGACGCUGAGGAGCGAAAGCGUGGGGAGCGAACAGG